CUGAAAACAGUCAAACAUGAGCUUCUUCCAAGUGUGAAUGAUAUCACAGCUGUUGGACCGGCACAUUUCUAUGCCACAAAUGACCACUACUUCUCUGAUCCUUUCUUAAAGUAUUUAGAAACAUACUUGAACUUACACUGGGCAAAUGUUGUUUACUACAGUCCAAAUGAAGUUAAAGUGGUAGCAGAAGGAUUUGAUUCAGCAAAUGGGAUCAAUAUUUCACCUGAUGAUAAGUACGGCCCCUUAUAGAAUAUCUUCAUUUUUCUUCAGUUGUGGUGCUGGCCAAAUUCUUUACUUUGCUUUCUUUGUCAAUGUGAAAAUAGUUUUCUUGACAUUUAUGGUAUAUUAUACAUAUAAUAUAUAGAUACACUAUAUAUAUAAUUAUAUAUAUUUUGUAUAUAUAUUUACAUAUACUUAGUCACAUGUAUUUAUAUGCAAAUACAAUACCAUAUUUAAGUAAACUAUAUAAUACAGUAAUAUAUAUGUAUUUAUAUAUAAUAUAUAAAGUUUGGAAUACAUCAUUGUCAAAUUUAAUUUUAUAAAUAUAAAUUUUAAAGUGUGAUCAUACUGAUGCAUACAUAUUGAAGUAUCAGGUAUUUCCUUUUAAAUAAAUGUAUUAUUUUUAUU
rnacentral:sRNA from 1 species